UAAAAGAGUAAGGAAUGGUUUUAAAUUGGUGCGACACACGACUUUGUGGACAAUUUAGAACUCAAGGAACAAUCACAUAAUUAAUAAUGUGAGAAAGAAUCCUAAUGAAAUAAUGAGAGGAAAUAAAAAUAAUAACUUGGCGAUGGAGCGCGGAGAGGUUAAAGAUUGCCAUUUGCCUGUUGUAUGAAUGGAUUUGGGACCCUGGUGACUGUUUUCAAUGAUAACAAAAGAUGUUUUUCUGCUGGGGCUGUUGGUACAGUGGGGCGUUGAGUUAUUUUUUUGUUCCCUGUUGGCUGUAUUUCGCUGUGUUAUUAUCGAAUAGGGACCCUGCUUUCUGUUUAUGCGGGUUUGUUACUUGGUUUAGGAAGGACCUAGGAUGUUAAUAGCGGCGCUAUAAGCGUUUUACCACCUCUCUGCUAUGCUAUAAGACUGCUUUCCGCUAUUUAAAGAAGCGGAAAUAGCGGCCGCUAUUUGCAGGAAAAUAGCGUUUUGUUAGCGGUGGCGUAGCGUUCUGGUAGCGCUAUUUGGCCGCUUUAGCGUUUUGGAGGGAAAAAAAUUGAUGAAAAUCUUUAUUUUGGAAAUAAAUCAUAAGUGAGGGGUAUUUUGCAUUUUUUCACACAUCAAAAAGCUACCAACACAUCACAACACGUGAUUUACUUUUCUAUUUGAGUUGUUUCUUCUUUCUUUUCUCACAUCACGCUCUUCUCCUCUUCUCCUCUUCUCCUCUUCUCCUUCACCAAAUCGACUCCUCUGUUUCCUUUCUCCAAAUCAACUGCUCUUCUCCUCUUCUUACAAGGUUUGUUCCUUUCUCAAACCUUAAUGUGGUGGAGCUUAGAAGUGAAGUUGAGGCAGAAGCA
rnacentral:lncRNA from 1 species